rnacentral:snRNA from 1 species
GUGCUUGCUUUGGCAGCACAUACACUAAGGUUGGAACAAUACAGAGGAGAUUAGCAUGGCCCUGCACAAGGAUGACAUGCAAAUUCGUGAAGCGUUCCAUAUCUUU